rnacentral:tRNA from 1 species
AGCAGUGGAGCUCAGUGGUGGAGCACAUGCAUAGUAUGUGUGAGGCCCUGGGUUCAAUCCCCAGCACUGAAA